rnacentral:rRNA from 1 species
GCUUGUCUCAAAGAUUAAGCCAUGCAUGUCUAAGUAUAAGCCUUUAUAUGGUGAGACUGCGAAUGGCUCAUUAAAUCAGAAACUGUUUAUUUGAUAGUGCCUACUACAUGGAUACCUGUAGUAAUUCUAGAGCUAAUACGUGCGUAAAUCCCGACUCCUGGAAGGGACGUAUUUAUUAGAUUUAAGGCCAACCGAGCUUGCUCGUCUCUUGGUGAAUCAUGAUAACUUCACGAAUCGCAUGGCCUCGCGCCGGCGAUAUUUCAUUCAAAUUUCUGCCCUAUCAAUUGGCGAUGGUAGGAUAGAGGCCUACCAUGGUGUUAACGGGUGACGGGGGAUUAGGGUUCGAUUCCGGAGAGGCAGCCUGAGAAACGGCUACCACAUCCAAGGAAGGCAGCAGG